AUCCAGCUGAAGAGUCUCAAAUAGGAUAGAACGCGCGUCCUUGAU
rnacentral:hammerhead_ribozyme from 1 species